rnacentral:lncRNA from 1 species
CUGUAAGCGUUGUGCAUUUUUCUUUCAGCUGUCAGAUCCUCUCCUCUGAAGAGAGUAUCAUUGAGGAACAGUUUGAGAUAAGCAAUAAGGACCAGAAGAACAUAAAGAGAUCCUCAUGGCUGUCAGAAAAGUAUCUGCUCCAUCCUCUCGUUCUUAUCCUGAAUUAUGCUGGGAUCGCCAUCAUGGGCCACGAGAAGCCUUCUGCCGUUUCCAGACAGCGGGACAGUUCUGCAUCCCUGUGCCAGGAGCUGAAGUGGAUGGCACUUUGGGUGAAACCAGGACUUCUCCACCACAUACCUGUGCCCCCGGAGACGGUCGGGUCCCCUGAAAGCUCCAUUGUUCUUCCUGCCCUAUUGCACGCACGGUGAUUAUAUAGCCUUGGAUAAGCAGUAAUACGUUGCUUGCUGAAAUAAUAACCUAUCCUCAGUUUAAACAGUGCUAUAUUUAAGAUUUAUAUAUAUUUAAAUGUCGGUAGUAUGUGACAUAUUAUCAUUUGGAUGACAGUUUGUAAAUAAGAUAUUGGAAAGAAAAGCAUCAGCUGCAUUUAGGGAGGUAAAUCUUGGGGUCAGGCAGGACGGCCGGAUCCAUGUGGAUUUUAAAGAAGCCUCAGAACCUCUUGGGGUUGGGGAUGGGCAAGGACCCUGCCUGGGUCCGAGAUCCAGGAAACCCCGAUUACUGCUUCCAUGUCUGAAGGUCAAUCUUUUUUUGUAGCCCUUUUAACUUGUCUUUAUUCCCUAACAUGAAAAAAAGGGCUAACAGCAUUUUCCUACCACAGUGGGAUGUUGGCCGACCGUUGUAAAUAGCUCUAAACCAAGACACAGGUGUAAAAGCUCUGCAGGUCAGCGUGGCCAUCACGGGUCAGCGUUAGUCCCACCCAAAGUGGGUCUCAGCACUCAAAUCUGCUUUUACUCCCCAGUUUGGUUUCUACGCAGGGAGGGAGCUGAUGAGAGGAG